rnacentral:rRNA from 1 species
UACGUAGGGGGCUAGCGUUGUCCGGAUUUAUUGGGCGUAAAGAGCGUGUAGGCGGCCAGAUAGGUCUGCUGUGAAAACUCGAGGCUCAACCUCGAGCUGUCGGCGGAACCAUUUGGCUAGAGUCCGGAAGAGGAAAGUGGAAUUCCUGGUGUAGCGGUGAAAUGCGCGAUAUCAGGAAGAACACCAGUGGCGAAGGCGGCUCACUGGCCCGGUACUGGACGCUGACGGCGCGAAAGCGUUGGG